UACGGAGGAUGCGAGCGUUAUCCGGAUUUAUUGGGUUUAAAGGGUGCGUAGGCGGGAUGCCAAGUCAGCGGUAAAAAUGCGGUGCUCAACGCCGUCGAGCCGUUGAAACUGGCGUUCUCGAGUGGGCGAGAAGUAUGCGGAAUGCGUGGUGUAGCGGUGAAAUGCAUAGAUAUCACGCAGAACUCCGAUUGCGAAGGCAGCAUACCGGCGCCCUACUGACGCUGAGGCACGAAAGCGUGGGUAUCGAACAGG
rnacentral:rRNA from 1 species